GCAAGUCGAGCGGACCUCUUCGGAGGUCAGCGGCGGACGGGUGCCUUUCGUGGGCAACCUGCCUGUAAGACUGGGAUAACUCCCGGAAACCGGAGCUAAUACCGGAUAACCUUUUGAACCGCAUGGUUCAAAAUUGAAAGACGGUUAUGCUGUCACUUACAGAUGGGCCCGCGGCGCAUUAGCUAGUUGGUGAGGUAAUGGCUCACCAAGGCGACGAUGCGUAGCCGACCUGAGAGGGUGAUCGGCCACACUGGGACUGAGACACGGCCCAGACUCCUACGGGAGGCAGCAGUAGGGAAUCUUCCGCAAUGGACGAAAGUCUGACGGAGCAACGCCGCGUGAGUGAUGAAGGUUUUCGGAUCGUAAAGCUCUGUUGUCAGGGAAGAACAAGUGCGGGAGUCACUGCCCGCGCCUUGACGGUACCUGACCAGAAAGCCACGGCUAACUACGUGCCAGCAGCCGCGGUAAUACGUAGGUGGCAAGCGUUGUCCGGAAUUAUUGGGCGUAAAGCGCGCGCAGGCGGUCUUUUAAGUCUGAUGUGAAAGCCCCCGGCUCAACCGGGGAGGGUCAUUGGAAA
rnacentral:rRNA from 1 species